rnacentral:rRNA from 1 species
ACAUGCAAGUCGAACGAAGUCUUCGGACUUAGUGGCGCACGGGUGCGUAACGCGUGGGAAUCUGCCCUUGGGUACGGAAUAACUCAGACAAAUUUGUGCUAAUACCGUAUAAUGUCUUCGGACCAAAGAUUUAUCGCCCAAGGAUGAGCCCGCGUAAGAUUAGCUAGUUGGUGAGGUAAAAGCUCACCAAGGCGACGAUCUUUAGCUGGUCUGAGAGGAUGAUCAGCCACACUGGGACUGAGACACGGCCCAGACUCNUACGGGAGGCAGCAGUGGGGAAUAUUGGACAAUGGGCAAAGCCUGAUCCAGCAAUGCCGCGUGAGUGAUGAAGGCCCUAGGGUUGUAAAGCUCUUUUACCCGGGAUGAUAAUGACAGUNCCGGGAGAAUAAGCUCCGGCUAACUCCGUGCCANCAGCCGCGGUAAUACGGAGGGAGCUAGCGUUGUUCGGAAUUACUGGGCGUAAAGCGCGCGUAGGCGGUUUUUUAAGUCAGAGGUGAAAGCCCANUGCUCAACACUGGAACUGCCUUUGAAACUGGAAAACUUGAAUCUUGGAGAGGUCAGUGNAAUUCCGAGUGUAGAGGUGAAAUUCGUANAUAUUCNGAAGAACACCAGUGGCGAAGGCNACUGACUGGACAAGUAUUGACGCUGANGUGCGAAAGCGUGGGGAGCAAACAGGAUUAGAUACCCUGGUAGUCCACGCCGUAAACGAUGAUAACUAGCUGUCCGGGCUCAUAGAGCUUGGGUGGCGCANCUAACGCAUU